rnacentral:rRNA from 1 species
AGGGAAUAUUGGACAAUGGGGGGAACCCUGAUCCAGCCAUGCCGCGUGGAGGAAGACUGCCCUCUGGGUUGUAAACUCCUUUUAUAUGGGAAGAACCGUCCUCAUUGAUGAGUGACCUGACGGUACCAUAGGAAUAAGCACCGGCUAACUCCGUGCCAGCAGCCGCGGUAAUACGGAGGGUGCAAGCGUUAUCCGGAUUCACUGGGUUUAAAGGGUGCGUAGGCGGAUAUGUAAGUCAGUGGUGAAAUCAACGGGCUCAACCUGUUAACUGCCAUUGAUACUGUGUAUCUUGAAUAUGAGAGAGGUAGGCGGAAUGUUGCAUGUAGCGGUGAAAUGCUUAGAUAUGCUACGGAACACCGAUUGCGAAGGCAGCUUACUAUUUCGUAAUUGACGCUGAGGCACGAAAGCGUGGGUAGCAAACA